GGCGGUUUUCAGUUGACGCACCCCAGAAUCGGACUCCCUCCUCUCUAGUUCUGGGUGUGUCACCCAAGAACCACC
rfam:Myotis davidii contig200854, whole genome shotgun sequence.